CUCAGCCGGUGUUUAUACUCUACACGCCGGGCAUAGUCAAAAUUAAAAUAACAUUUAAUGGGAGAAAGAGACAGGACCAGCAGCGCAGAAACAUGCCAGCGGCGUCCACGGGAUGGGUUUGAUUCGAACCAAAGGAUGGGUUUAGGGGGACGGCAUUUGUAGCUACAAAGGAGUUAAUGCGUGAGCCAUUUUUUUCAGCCAGCGGUGGCAGAGAGUUCACGAAAUUACACCAGUGGUGAUUAAUGCCCCGGGGCGAAGCAAGAAGCUUUUACAAUCCUGCAGUUAGCCCCAUUCGGAUCUUACAUUUGAGGGGACUUGUUCCAGCGCUCUUGUCAAUUGUUGACUUGUGCAGUGAGCCGGGAAAUCACCACUUGCUGAUCAAUGUAAUAGACAUAAACGGGACUGGAACAUUACAGUGCAUCAGUACAACAGGAGGGAGAAACCAGUCUUAGAUCACCAAAAUCGCAGGAAUGAUUGGCAGCCAAUGGUCUUAAGCAAUUUCAUUCGCCACAAAACAAAAGCCAAGGUGCUCUACAUUCUGGCUCCAAUCUUCCAUGGACGUGUUAUAAGGAUUGAUUGUGCCACAGAGUAGCAUAACUGGCUCAUGGAUGAAGACCAGACACUUGGGAAUGAAGUGAGCUGGAUGCUAACAAGAAGCCAAAGGUGCCAAUUUUAGUCUUUGUGGAAGUUCAUAAAUGGAUUCAGUAAUGGAUCAUAAAAAUAUGUGGAGAUUUACAACUUCCUUUUGGAAUUCAACUUUAUUUGGUUUACUUGGAUGAAGGACACUGCUCCAGAAACAAUGAAACUGAAAAGCCAUCAAGCUAUAUUUCCCCAAAAUGAGGUUUAUCUACUUUAUGCCACCCGGGUGUUUCCACUUUGAUGUGCUUAAUGUGUUCUAUGAUCCAAUCUAUGGUUUCUUUAUGACCCACAAUUGGCUUAUUCCAAUGUGUCCAUGGAAGGAUCUCGACAGGGAGGUAGUUCUCAACUUCAUGAUAAUGGUUCAGCCACUGCAAUGUCUGUGGAAUUGCUGAAGGCUCCACAUUUGGGUUUUUUUCUAGACAGGAUGGACUCCUUCAUAUUAGCUGUCAAAGGUCCUAGACAUAACCCUCAAAUGCUGCAGCAAUCAUUUAUGUUCAGAAAGCUUCCUUCUUUUAAAAGCAGGGCCCCUGAGGUCUGCAUCAAUAUUCUCAUCAGCUGAGAAUGUACACAAUCUGCAGACAGCUGGAUCCUGUACUUUUUGUGCCACCACCUCCUGUUCUUUCUCACUUGUACUCUGAGUAUCACCCGGUGCAUUCUUCUCAAAGUCACUGCCAAAACCCUGUGGAGUGGAUGUUAGUGUGAGCUAUGGUGCCUAUUCUGGUGUGCUUUGCUUCCAUUAGCUCCCUGGCCCUCAACUCUGCUCCAUUCGGAAAAGCUAGAGGAGAAGGGAACAUGAGAGAGGAUACUUCCUUGCUGACAAUUUCGUCUGACAUUGCUUUUUGCAGAAUAACUGAUGAAGAAUUGUGUGCUUUGAUUCCAGCGAGUAAGUGAAUAAAAU